rnacentral:lncRNA from 1 species
AACAUUGUGCCCUGAGAACCCAAGACAGCAGACGCAGGAUUGGAGGGAUUGGGGGACUUCCUGAAGAGACUAAGUACAAAGGUGACAAGUGUAAUUGGCGAUUGUCACCAUUUUUUUUUCAACCCGAGAGCUCUUUCUUCAAAACUGUCGCGUGUGGGCCAGCCUAGUCUACAGAGUGAGUUCCAGGACAGCCAGGGCUACACAGAGAAACCCUGUCUCUAAAAAACCAAAAACCAAACCAAAUCAAAACAAAAACUAAACUAGCUUCAUAACAAAAGAAAAAACUGCAGUCUGAUAAACUUUCACAUCCUCGUUCAGUUUCUGAAUGGCGUUCUCAUGGGAUUUCUCCAUACUAGGUUUUGCAGUAGUUUCUACAUUCAUAUUUCAAGGCUUGUGCCCAUACUGUAAUGCAUAGCACCUUUAAAAUUCUCCAUAUUAUCUUACUUACCAGUUUGGGUGUUUUGUCUGCAUGUAUGUCUGUUUACCAUCUGCAUACCGGGUGCCCAAGGAGGCCAGAAGACAGAGCUGGAUCACCUAGAACCGGAGUUACAGCCGUUACGAACCUCCUCGCAUGCUAGGAACCAAACCUGCUCCCUCUGCAAGAGCAACAAUUGCUCUUAGCCAAGAGCCGCCUCUCCAGCCCCUGUAAGGCAUAAUAACAGUGACAGACUUACUUAUCAGACUAAACAGUGAUACAUGCAUGGGUCACGCUUGAGCUCGUAAACACCUCACUGCAUCGCGCUCAAGAAUGCUGCUGCAUCGUGAAAGGCAGGCAAGCUGAGGUCUGCUCUGAAGAAUGCCAGAGAUCACUCUAGAAAAGAUCCGAGUCAAGAAAAAGAUGCUAAAGGUCCACACUGAGCCCAGGGCAGCUCUUGCCCAGGCUGUCACCUAUUCCUCCCUGAGAGAUUUUAUCAGUACAAGAUACGUUUUGUCUGUCAUAGGUUUUUCUCCCUAAAGCCUUCCAAACUCCCCCCACCCUCCCUGCCCCCAACUCUCAGCCCUGCUCAGAUUAAGAUGACAACCACCUGGCCUCAAGUCUCCCGUGAGACUGCAGGGUAGAGCCUGCAGAUAGAUUUGUACAACUUCCCUCCUGUUUGUCUAUUGUCAGUCUGGUCCAGUGUUCUGGCUAGUUUUAUGUCAACUUGAUACAAGGUGGUCAUCAGGGAGGGGGGAACCUCAAUUGAGAAAAUACCUCCAAUAAGAUCAGGCUGUAGCAAGCCUGUAGGGCCUUUUCUUAAUGAGUGACUGAUGGAAGAGAACCCAGCCCGUUUGUGGGUGGCACCACACCUGGGUUUUUGUCCUAAAUUUAUACAAGCAGGCUGAGCAAGCCAUGAGAAGCAGGCCAGUAAGCAGCUCCCUCCAUGGCCUCUGCAUCAGCUCCUGCUUCCAGGUUCCCGCACUGCUGGAGUUCAGGCCCUCACCUCUUUUGACAGUGAACUGUUACAUGGCACUGUGAGCAACAUAAACCCUUUCCUCCCCAAGAUGCUUUUUUUGUCAUAGUGUUUCAUCACAAUAGUAGAAACACUAAGACACCCAGUGACUCACAUUGUUGAGCUUUUAAAGAGUAGAGGGAUAUUUCAACUUCCCUCUAACUGAGAAGCAUCUUGACCAAGCCAUGGGAGGCAAUUAUUGUAGGCUUAAUGUUUUUUUGUUUGUUUUUUGUUUGUUUGUUUUUGUCAGAAAGCUUAGAAGCUAGAUUCUGUCUAGUGAGGCCAAGCUGAGCAAGCAGGGUAACUUCUGUAGCUUGGUCUUCUUACCUAGAAAAUGAGAUAACCGGGGGCUGGAGAGAUGGCUCAGGGGUUAAGAGCACUGACUGCUCUUCCGAAGGUCCUGAGUUCAAUUCCCAGCAACCACAUGGUGGCUCACAACCAUCCGUAAUGAGAUCUGAUGCCCUCUUCUGGAGUGUCUGAAGACAGCUGCAGUGUACUCAUAUAUAAUAAAUAAAUCUUAAAGAAAGAGAGAAAGAAAGAAAGAAAAUGAGAUAACAAUGCAUACAUUAUCCAGAACCUAGUGUCUUGAGAACAAAAUGUAAUGACAAAGGCUUUUGUAACUUCUGUACAAAGACAACAAAUUGCUGGUGUCUUCUCAGGUCAUCACUCUCCUGGGUCACAUGAGUUGUGCUCAGAUUGCAUCCCGACGCUUACUAGCCAGCUGUGUUACCCUGAGACCCCACUCCCAUGCCUCAAUUCCUCUCCCAGACAAAUAAAACCACGAAAAGACCAGCCUCGGAGGGCAGUAGUGUAUCCAGCUUAGUACAGAGUGAUACCGGAGAAGUUGGGGUCCCUCCUAGGGGCUCUCAGUUUUGUGAACAAAAGGAUUUAAGAACAGAUUCAUAGGAGAGCUUAAGGCCAACUUCAUUUAAUAUAAAUACCCAAGAGAAGCACGCGGUAAACCCGGACGGCUGCCUGGAAGAGGCUAGAGAAGAGAAAGAGAAAAAUCCCUGCUGCACGCACGAGUGAAGACUGCACGGAGAUGAGCCCCAAGGAGGACACUCGGCCACAGGGGAGCUUUAGAGAUAGGGCAAGGAAAGCCAAAGCCCCAAGAAAAGCACACUUGGGCUCUGGCCAGCUUCCAAAAGAGAGACAGAAGGGAAGGAAAAGGAAACAUUGUGCCUUUCUGAGAGCCAGGACUGAGGAAAAGCGGGCAGACACAGCAGGGCCUCAUGACAGCUCUGGAGCAGCAGCAGCCGGGGGAUUCCAGACGGAACAGUGUCUCACUGUAGUCACCUUUUUAGCACAGCUUUGGGUGGGCCUGCCUUCCUGAGGGUUGGAUCCUUGGCCAAACGAUUGACCCGCCCAACUGGAUUAACUUCUGUUUGUGUCAGAGACAGGGUCUCACUAUGGAGCCCAGGCUUGCCUGGAAGUGACUAUGUGGACCAGGCUGGCCUAGAACUUGAAGUGUUCCUACUGCCUUUGCCCCCAAAGUGCUAGAAUUAAAGGACUUUGACAUCG